rnacentral:lncRNA from 10 species
CACAAACCUGAGAGGGCAGGAAGUCCACGCUGCCACCACGGGGUCACCACAGGGAGCCUGGUGGGGACACAGAGUAAAAAGAAUAGAAAAUAACCAAAUGUCAAGACUGCAACUGGGGUGGAGCCAAGCUGCUGCGGAUGUUGCCAAGGGCCCUUCCCGGGAGAGCCAGGUGGGGUACCCACAUGCCACCUUCUCCUCAGGUGGAGCCACCGCCUGUGGCCUCCUGUGGGGCCAGCCUGGACUGCAGCUGCCAGGACCUAGUGAUGGCCCCAAACCUGAGAGUGGGCCCAGAGUCCCACCCCGCUAACCAUGCUGAAAAAGGCCACAGGGCACAUGAAGCCUUUGCUCCCUGGAUCAGGUCACGCUCUCCAGUUUUCCUUCCAGGAGGACAGGCCAUGCACUAAAAAACAGCUGCAGAGGAAAGGCUGGACCAGGUGUGCUGGGAGUCACCAGGAGCAAGGUGGUGAAGGAGCACAUGAAUCCGGGCAACGUGACUUAAGAGCUGGCUGAUGUUCCAGGACAGCACAAAAGAACGGAACUUGUUUUCAUGCUAUGAGUGCGCAAACCAAUGGGCAGUUUUUGGGGUUACUCGUGAUUGCUCCUCGGUCCAGAGUUCAGGCAGCAAUCUGAGCCACUCAACUGCUCUUCUUUACCCCUCUACCUCUGCAGUUCAUUGGGGGACAGAGCUGGGCCAGGAUCCUGGGACAGAAGGAGGAGGCGGGCCCAGGAAAGUCCACUUGGGGUAACACACAAUUUGUACAUAAAAAAGAAAUGUUCACCUCUUUGUAUGUACCGUAGUAAUUAUUUCACCUUCUUUUAUGAACUUGCACAUUUUCAGAGAGAGUUAAAUUAAGCAGAGUCUGAAAGUGGAGAAUUCUCACAUAGAUAAAAGAAUGGGGACCUGAAAUUGGGUCAUCAGGAAGUGUCUUGUGGCAAAAUACACUUAGUAUCGAACUGAAGGAAGAAAUAUUUCAAACAUUUUCUUUAAGGAAAACUUAAUGGAUGUGACUUAAUAUUGUCUAGACUGACCUAGCAGCACAAGGUGGUGCGUUCAAGGACUUUUCAUCUCAAUCCACAGGAAAAGGGUUCGAUUUAGAUGAGAAAGAGGGAGCGGGGCACAGCUAGACUGGAGAGGCAUCCUGUCCACGGAUUAGUCUUCACUCUUCAUGUGGGCAGUAGAAUGGUAAACGGGACCUUCUUAAAACAGCAGCUCCCAAACACUGGGAGGUUGAUGUGCUUCCUAAACCCUCACUGAUUCAUGAUGUUCGGCACAGUGUGGGGCCUCCCGAAAACGGUGCUGAUCAUAUGGAGUUUGUGGAACAUCUCCUAUGUGUACUACCGGGACUCUACUAUCCUCCGUGAUCACAAUUUCACUGGGGGCCAGUCGCCUAGAAGAUCUCACGGGGUGUCCAAUCUUUUGGCUUCCCUGGGCCACAUUGGAAGAAGACGAAUUGUCUUGCACCACAUAUAAAAUACACUAACACUAACGAUAGCUGAUGAGCUAAAAAAGAAAAUUGCAAAAAUAUCUCAAUGCUUUAAGAAAGUUUACAAAUUUGUGUUGGGCUGCAUUCAAAGCCAUCUUAGGCCACAUGUGGCCCGUGGGCCAUGGGUUGGACAAGCUUGAAGAUAGCCAUGAGACUACUGAUGACAAGAAUAAAGGUGGUUUAUUGAAUCCGUACUGUGUACUAGACUCUUCACAUGCAGAGCCUCAUUUAAUGCUCGUAACAAUCUCUUGAGGCUGAGACAAGCAUAUCCCCCAUCUUACAGAGGAAGAAGCCCACUCAGAGAAGCUAAGGAACUAACCCAAGAUCACACAACUAGAGUAGGGAUUCAAACCCAGACAAUGUGGAACCACAGACCACAACUUACCCACCAGCUGUUGUAAGUACACAGGGAAACCAGAGCAGGAGGGCAGAAAAAAGGAGGAGAUAUAUGGGGGUUAUAAGCAAGGUGUGGGUUAUAUGGAAGGUCAGUUGACAUCUUCUAUGAAUCCCCUGAAACCAGGAUGAAGAAUUUCAGACCAAAAGACUAUAGAGAGAGAAAAAAACUCCUGCUCCAAAUGAGAGAAGAGAAAGAGUGUUGACGGUAAAAUAUCAGUGAGACGCUGUGAUUUGUGCCUUUUGUCUUUUUCUAUCUGGCUCCCCUAGCAACAGUUAAGUAGUAAUGAAUGUAAAUGCUCAGUAACACGCCGGCGAGACUGUUCCACCAGGCGCAGCAUCCCUGGUAAACAGAAAUGCAUGCUAAUUUCUGCUCCGUGAAGCAUAGGAAACAUCACUAGGGGCUGCCCAGUGGAAAGGAACAAAAAGCAGAUGGAAAAAAUGUUUAAAUCUCAAGUUUAUGUGAGAACAGAAAAGAAGGAACAUGUUGUAAAUUAUUUUUUGAAAUAUUAAGCUACUAACAAAAUCCUAACACCAAGACAGACAACAGGGGUGGUAAAAGGGGAAGGAGAGACGGAGUCACAAUGGAGACGGUUUUGCUACAGCACAUCAUUAACCGCCACGUUUUUCUGCAGUAUCUGAAAAUAUCAGUCUUGGAAAUACCUAUGCAUUAUUUUUUCAGAGGUGUGUGUCUAUGGCCUCGGGGCUGGAGCUGGAAAACAAGCUAUUGCCAUGAGCUCAUGCUGGAGUCUGUGUAAAUUGUUUCCUCUCCUUAUGUAUAAUGUUUCUAAUUAGGACUGUUACAGAGGAUGAGCUCUGUGGGCUGUUGAAUUGACUCUUUGUGCUCACUGCAAAUCUAGGGCUUUAUGCCUGCCCAUGCUUGGGCCGACCUGCUUCUUAGAGGCAUCGCUAAAUGGGGAAGGUGACCCUGUCCUGCUUCCUGAUGUCUGAUAUCAGGGCUGUUGGGGAAACACCCAAGAGAUCUGCUGUCACCCCUGGAGUGAAUAGAUACAUGACUCUGGUUUCUAGAUGCAUAACUCUUGUUUCUAGUUGGCCCUUUUAUCCAAUUAUACCUUUAAUAAACAAAAGUCCAUUUUGAGGUCCUUUCUCUAAGAGACAACUAUUUACCUAAAAGUUGUAGGGUGAGCAGUAGACACUAGUUCCUCCCUCUGCAUCAAGAAUUUAAGAAAUGGGCUGGGCACAGUGGCUCACACCUGUAAUCCCAGCACUUUGGGAGGCCAAGGUGGGUGGAUCUCUUGAGAUCAGGAGUUUGAGACCAGCCUGGCCAACAUAGUGAAACCCCGUCUCUACUAAAAAUACAGAAAUUAUCUGAGUGUUGUGGUACAUGCCUGUAAUCCCAGCUACCCGGGAGGCUGAGGCAGGAGAAUCAUUUGAACCCGGAAGGCGGAGGUUGCAGUGAGCCAAGAUUGUGCCACUGCACUCUAGCCUCAGUGAUGGAGCGAGACGCCAUCUCAAAAUAAAUAAAUAAAUAAAUAAAUUUUAAAAGAAUUUUGGAAAUGUUUAGGGAAAGUGGAGUAGGACUCUGCUUCCCCAAGAUGCUGAGGCUUUGCAGAGAGGAUGUGACCCAGAGGGUAUGAGUCUCCCCGGCUUGGACCCACUCCUGCUCCCGACCUCUGACAUGUUUCUAGGUCAGACACACUUAGAAAAUUAAUCCUCAGCCAUCUGAGUAGCUGAUUGUCAGCAGGCAAUUCCCUUCCACCGGUAAAACUUCAGUCAGCUACGCUGGGCGAUGCAUAGAAAUACAGUAUUGGCUUGGCUUAGAGGUCUCCAGACACUUGGUCCCAGAGGACCAAGUAAAGGUUGCUUGUUAAUCUAGUACGACAUUCCCACUGUGGGACCUGUUAGGCUCCACACUGAAGAGGUGCCAGGAAUUCAAGGAGAGUGGAGGCUGGUGCUGAAAAGCUUCCCCCAGUGAUUCUGAUAUGCUCAGAGGGGGUGAUGGUGGUGGUCUUGGGCAGGCUUCCCAUUGUGUCAGGCCCAUGGUCACUAAUUCUUGUCCAGACCUGCAGAGCCAGAAUAGCCCAGCCCACAGAGCAGAAGCCACAGUGUAAGAAGCCCGACCUGGGCCAGAAAGCCUGACGAUGUCAGAAAAAAAUCCCCAUCAGUGUGAUGCCAUGGAAACCCUAGACAGCAGGCAGAUCUUUCUUCCUACGAGCCCAUUGGCACCUCCCUGGGAACUGGGAGCUGAGUAGGGAGGUAAAUCCCAGAAGCCAACAGAACACAGGUUUCAUGGAGAGCCUGGAUGCAAACCAGCAGUAGAGGACUGCUGCUCGGCACUGCGGAGGUGCUCAUGCCUUGCACCUGGUGGUUUGCCAAUGGACAAUUUCUCCAUGACCUAGUUUUCUACCUGGUCUGAAAUGAGAAAAAAUAAGUACAGCAUAGCAAGUUUUUCAUUAAGCUAAAUUUGUUCUAUUUAAAGAACUGCCAUUUGUUCUGGAACUAUGUCCUUUCUACUUUUUUUGGUGGAAGAAAAGUACUUUUAAGAAACAGAUGUGACAAUGUGGUAGUGGAUGACAACAUUUUUUGGUGUUGCUUUUUAAUAUUUCUAUUUUUCAAAAUAAAACCUGGCAACACUGUGUUAGUCCUCUGUUUUGUUUGUUUGCAUGCUUGCUUUUGCUUCUGUGUGUGGCGGAUUAGGGAUGGACACAAACUCUUUGGAACUUUUCAUACUGAAAGGUGCACCUAAUUUGCCUUCUCUUAAAUCUGGGCUGGCCUUAGUGACUUACUUGACUAAUAAAAUGUGGUGCGCAUGACCGCAUAGGUCUUCUGAAACUAGAUCACGGGAAACCCUGCAGCUUCCUUUCCAGGCCUCUUGGAACACUUAC